AGAACGAACGCUGGCGGCAUGCCUAACACAUGCAAGUCGAACGCUCUUGGUUUCGGCCAAGGGAGUGGCGCACGGGUGAGUAACGCGUGGGAACCUGCCCUGGAGUGGGGGAUAACCGAGGGAAACCUCGGCUAAUACCGCAUACGACCUGAGGGUGAAAGAUUUAUCGCUCUAGGAGGGGCCCGCGUCGGAUUAGCUAGUUGGUGAGGUAACGGCCCACCAAGGCUAUGAUCCGUAGCUGGUCUGAGAGGAUGAUCAGCCACACUGGGACUGAGACACGGCCCAGACUCCUACGGGAGGCAGCAGUGGGAAUAUUGGACAAUGGGCGCAAGCCUGAUCCAGCAAUGCCGCGUGAGUGAUGAAGGCCUUAGGGUUGUAAAGCUCUUUCACACGCGACGAUGAUGACGGUAGCGUGAGAAGAAGCCCCGGCUAACUUCGCACCAGCAGCCGC
rnacentral:rRNA from 1 species